ensembl:lncRNA
GCAGGUUCAGCAGGCUGUGAUUACAAUAAUUACAGACCUGUGAAGGUCCAAUUGACAAAACCGAAUAUAAACUGGGACAACCCACUGCACUGGUUCUUUCCGUGCUCCUUAGGAUUUGGUGGUGGUGGUUGUUGGAAGAUUUGCCAAGUGAAGUACUGAGAAUAUAAAGACUGCUCAAUAGAUUAUCAUCAGAUCAUUGCAAAGGAGGCAAGCCCUUCCUUCACUGCUUUCCAUGAUUGUCGACCAUGUUCACAAUUAGAGGUUUGAUGUUUUCACUGUGAGUGUUAGAGAGAGAGGUUGGUAUAUAUAAUACAAUGAAGAACUGGAGAUGACGAGAAAAUUGGAGGAAUCGCUUCAGCUGCUGCAGAAACUGAAUGAUCAGUUCUUACCUGGAAAAUUGCUACUCUUUGAGAAAAGGAAAGUUGGUUCUUGGCUGAAUCAUGCAACGGCUCUCAACGUAUCUGCCAGAACUGGCACAUGGCAUUGCUAUUCAUAUUUCACUGGCCAAACCAAGUCACAUGGUAAGACCUGAUAUUAAGGAAGCAUUAUGUCCCAACAUGGAUGUCCCAUAAAAGCACCCUGUAACAUCAUGCAGCAAAUGUUGACCUUAAUCCAAUCUACCCAAUGACUUCCUCAUUCUAUCAUAC